rnacentral:rRNA from 1 species
CGANNCGUGGAGGGGUGCUGCAACAUGCAAGUCGACGAUGACGGUGGUGCUUGCACCGCCUGAUUAGUGGCGAACGGGUGAGUAACACGUGAGUAACCUGCCCUCCACUUCGGGAUAACCUCGGGAAAUCGUGGCUAAUACCGGAUACGAGCACUCAUCGCAUGGUGGGUGUUGGAAAGAUUUAUCGGUGGGGGAUGGACUCGCGGCCUAUCAGUUUGUUGGUGAGGUGAUGGCUCACCAAGACGAUGACGGGUAGCCGGCCUGAGAGGGCGACCGGCCACACUGGGACUGAGACACGGCCCAGACUCCUACGGGAGGCAGCAGUGGGGAAUAUUGCACAAUGGGCGAAAGCCUGAUGCAGCGACGCCGCGUGGGGGAUGACGGCCUUCGGGUUGUAAACCCCUUUCAGUAGGGAAGAAGCGAGAGUGACGGUACCUGCAGAAGAAGCGCCGGCUAACUACGUGCCAGCAGCCGCGGUAAUACGUAGGGCGCAAGCGUUGUCCGGAAUUAUUGGGCGUAAAGAGCUUGUAGGUGGCUUGUCGCGUCUGCCGUGAAAACCCGAGGCUCAACCUCGGGCGUGCGGUGGGUACGGGCAGGCUAGAGUGUGGUAGGGGAGACUG